AUUGAACGCUGGCGGCAGGCCUAACACAUGCAAGUCGAGCGGAUGAAGGGAGCUUGCUCCUGGAUUCAGCGGCGGACGGGUGAGUAAUGCCUAGGAAUCUGCCCGGUAGUGGGGGAUAACGUCCGGAAACGGGCGCUAAUACCGCAUACGUCCUGAGGGAGAAAGUGGGGGAUCUUCGGACCUCACGCUAUCAGAUGAGCCUAGGUCGGAUUAGCUAGUUGGUGGGGUAAAGGCCUACCAAGGCGACGAUCCGUAACUGGUCUGAGAGGAUGAUCAGUCACACUGGAACUGAGACACGGUCCAGACUCCUACGGGAGGCAGCAGUGGGGAAUAUUGGGCAAUGGGCGAAAGCCUGAUCCAGCCAUGCCGCGUGUGUGAAGAAGGUCUUCGGAUUGUAAAGCACUUUAAGUUGGGAGGAAGGGCAGUAAGUUAAUACCUUGCUGUUUUGACGUUACCAACAGAAUAAGCACCGGCUAACUUCGUG
rnacentral:rRNA from 1 species